rnacentral:rRNA from 1 species
CACGUAGGGCGCAAGCGUUGUCCGGAAUUAUUGGGCGUAAAGAGCUCGUAGGCGGUCUGUUGCGUCCGCUGUGAAAACUCGGGGCUUAACUCGGAAAGGUCAACUGAUACUGUGCGACUAGAGUGCGGAAGGGGCAACUGGAAUUCUCGGUGUAGCGGUGAAAUGCGUAGAUAUCGAGAGGAACACCUGCGGCGAAGGCGGGUUGCUGGGCCGACACUGACGCUGAUGCGCGAAAGCCAGGGGAGCGAACGGG